CAGUCAAUAUAAUAGCUUUGUAUGGAGAGUAAUCUAUAGAAACAUCGAAUUAUUAUGUUGUACACCUGAAACUAACAUAAUAUUGUGUCAACUACACAUCAAUUAAAAUAAAUGUGUGUGUGUAUAUAUAUAUAUAUAUAUAUAUAUACACACACACACGUAUGCACAGUUGAUACUCAUUAUUCCUUAUAGCUAUGUUCUAUAAAUUUGCCACAAACCCGGAAUUAGUGAAUACUGACCCAUUGUUCCUAGGAGAAAAAUAGGGUCAGUUUCCUGUGAGCCUCUGCUCACAUUUUUGUCAACUGAGCAAUACAUAACCUUGUGUUAUGUGUGUUUCUGUUUAAAGAAGCCUCAUGUGAUAUAUAUUGUUGAUGCAUUAACACGGGACUCACAGCCAAUGGCACCGUAAGUCAUGCCCAAACGAGGCUUAUCUAGCACACCUAUUUUCUCCCUAAGACACGUCGCCGCCCCGUGGUGUGUCUUAUGGAGACACUUAGCCAGCACCUCAGCACUAUGCUUCGGAACCACUUUAAACACCGAAAUCGCCAACCAGUAAGCACACAAAUGGAAACGAAUGUGCACUGAGCAGACCACAAACAGGACGCUUGUUUACAAUAUGAAAGCUGAGCUAGGAGGACAGAGGAUCACCUUGUUUGACUUCAGCUGGGAACAUCAAGCAACUCGAACUUUUCACUGUCGUGGGCAUGUCCACGAAUGACCGCACAAGUGCCACACGUAUGGAUUUGGGGGUUACAAAUAAACUUUAGUGAGUGGGUGAAUCCACAGGCACGAAGCCCACAAAUAAUAAAGAUCAACAGUGUCCGUACUCACCUAAGACACUGCUCAGUUUGCAGAAGAUUUUUCACUUCAAAUCAGUGGUCAGUUGUUAGGACACCGUGAGGAAAGCCCACCCAGUUUGUGUGAGACCCAUGACAAAGGCAGUCUCCAUUCUGUUUCCAGAGUCUCCAGAGAGGCUGGCAAUGGAAGUUAUCUUACUCAUCGCCCUUUGUUCUGUAGGUUCCCCAGGAGUGAACUUGGUGCUAUGGCAAGACCGGAAGCUCUGUGACUUUGUGGGGCGAGCAGAGCCUGUCUGGACUGCCUGCAACUCGUGGUGGGGGCCACUGCUGGGAUCAAAGUGUUCAGCCAUGUGCGAAGGCAGGCUGACACAGAGCCCGUGCUAGAAGAAGUAUGUCUUGGUGCAGUGGGGUCCAGGGAAUCACGCAGAUAACCGCGCAGAGGGUCAAGUGGGGAGAGUAAGGAGAAGGCGAAAUAUAAGAGAAUGAAGCAGGAGCUGAGAGGAUUUACAGCAGAAAGGCAAGGCUUCAAGGAGCUUCCAGGGUAAGUGUCAGCAUUUAGACCACAAACAGAGAGCUCUGGAAUUUCCACUCUCUGAGGUAUUUGGUAUAUGAGUCCCAGACUAGGGAAAGUGACUCAGAGAGAAUCAUGAAACACUGGAGAGAAAUUUUAUUUAAUAAGUAUUAAGGUUUGCUUAUGCUUAAUAGACCCUCAACUGUAUGACUUCAAGAAAUACAAUCUGUAUUUUGUCUCCGAUGUAACAGUUUACCACAGAUAAUGAUAAAAAUCAUAAACAUCUCAAACUCAUCUGUCCAACCCGCAGCUUCCCAACCGCUCUGCAGAGAUAUACAUCUAUUUUGUUCCUAAAUAUUACCCAAAGUGGAAACUUUUAACUAUCCGUUGGUAGCUCACUUCUGUGGUUUUACCACAGUAAGCCCCUAUUCCAUGAAUCUGAUUUCACUAAUGAUAGAACACUAUUUUUAUGACAUACAGAUGGCUAUCCAAAGAACUCCCAGCAAUUAAUCAACUCUUAGUAAGUCACUUGAGAAAGGCCAAUAAAGUAAUUUUCUAUCAAAUGAGUACUUUCUCCACCAGAAAUAGGGCUGCAAGAUUCUCCUUCUCAACAAAGACAGUACAGAAUGGGGGCAAAUUUUUUUUUGUUAUUCUUCUAAAGGGUUCUCUAGACACUUCUUCCAAGACAGCUUUAUUGUGUGAUAAUUAUGUGUUUAUAUGUUUGGUUUUCCUCUAGAUCCCAACCUCACUGAAUGGAGGGACUAUGCCUUGUUUAUCUCAAGCACACAUCACAGUGUUUGACACAAACAGGUGAGGAAGGGGUGUAAAUCCAAUGAUUUCAUCCUGCUCUAAAGUUCUCUGGGGAUCACGUGAGCAUCAGAGUCUGUCUGAACCCUGAUCAAGAUGUCUGCUGAGCUUCCUUUCCAGGCCAGAUGUACACAAAGUACCAACCUGGAUGCCAAUGCCCAAGGCUUCCUGAAGCCAGGCUGAAGAUAUAUAUGAGAGCCUCCAUCAGCUUGAGUCCCCAGAUGGCUCUUUGAAACAGAGUCCCCACCCCCGACUACCUUUCCUACGACCACCACCUCCAUUAGACUAACACAUAAUCAAAAAAUAAAUUUAUUGUGUUAAGCCACUGAGAUUUAUCACAAAACUUAGCCUAGCAUGAUGACUUCAAAAAAUUUUUUCAAGUUACAAUAUAAUACUAACAAGCAGGGAUUUACACAACCACUUAAAGAGCUAGGGUACCAAGGUGAAAGAAAAACCACAGCUGGACUUCAGGAAGUUUGGGUAGAUGGGAAAUACAGGGAAGUUCCUGCUGAUCAUCUCCCCUGACGGCAGUACCAAAGCAGGUGAUUUGCAGGAGCUCCCCUGGAAGCUGCUGUAAAUCUCAUGUCUGCUUACUGCUGAAAGGUAUGCCUGCAGCUGCCACCAGAGAUAAAUGGCUUUUCCCUUCUCCUAUCUUCCAAAUCUCGUGCAGUGCUUCUUCUUGGCAGAAUCUAACCCAGAACCCUGCUGGAAGCAGAAUUCUAAAAGGUCUAAUUUAGCUGCUUCUACCCUGAGAUGCAGAAGAGAGUUUGGAAGAGGAAAGAAGGAAGGAAGGAAG